GCUCCGGUGGUCUAGUGGUUCAAGCGUCUGCCUCGGAUGCUGGAGGUCGUAGGUUCAAACCCCGGUCGUAGGUUCA